rnacentral:rRNA from 1 species
GUUAUAUGGUCAAGUGAAUUAAGCGCAUACGGUGGAUGCCUUGGCGACAGGAGGCGAUGAAGGACGUGGUAGCCUGCGAUAAGCUUCGGGGAGCUGGCAACAAGCUUUGAUCCGGAGAUGUCCGAAUGGGGAAACCCACCGCGCAAGCGGUAUCCUGCACUGAAUACAUAGGUGCUGGAGGCGAACCCGGGGAACUGAAACAUCUAAGUACCCGGAGGAAAAGAAAUCAACCGAGAUUCCCUUAGUAGUGGCGAGCGAAAGGGGACCAGCCCAGUGCGUCUAAAGUCGUUAAUUCUUAGAGGAAUGGCAUGGAAAGGCCAGUCAUAGAGGGUGAUAGCCCCGUACUUUAAAAGAAUUUUCGAUGGGGCGCCGAUGAGUAGGGCGGGGCACGUGAAACCCUGCUUGAACAUGGGGGGACCAUCCUCCAAGGCUAAAUACUACCUGUCGACCGAUAGUGAACUAGUACCGUGAGGGAAAGGCGAAAAGAACCCCGGAUAGGGGAGUGAAAUAGAUCCUGAAACCGUAUGCGUACAAGCAGUGGGAGCUCAUUCAUUGAGUGACUGCGUACCUUUUGUAUAAUGGGUCAGCGACUUACUUUCAGUGGCAAGCUUAACCGAAUAGGGGAGGCGUAGGGAAACCGAGUCUGAAUAGGGCGAUAGUCGCUGGGAGUAGACCCGAAACCGGGCGAUCUAUCCAUGACCAGGGUGAAGGCAGGGUAAAACCUGCUGGAGGCCCGAACCGGGAUCUGUUGAAAAAGAUUCGGAUGAGUUGUGGAUCGGAGUGAAAGGCUAAUCAAGCUCGGAGAUAGCUGGUUCUCCUCGAAAGCUAUUGAGGUAGCGCCUCGCGUCUCACUCUCGGGGGUAGAGCACUGUUUCGGCUAGGGCUGCGUCUAGCGGUACCAAACCGAUGCAAACUGCGAAUACCGAGAAGUGCAAUCGCGGGAGACACACGGCGGGUGCUAACGUCCGUCGUGAAGAGGGAAACAACCCAGACCGCCGGCUAAGGUCCCAAAAUCAUGGCUAAGUGGUGAACGAUGUGGGAAGGCUAAGACAGCCAGGAGGUUGGCUUAGAAGCAGCCAUCCUUUAAAGAAAGCGUAAUAGCUCACUGGUCGAGUCGUCCUGCGCGGAAGAUUUAACGGGGCUAAGCCAUGUACCGAAGCCGCGGAUGCAAGCUUGCUUGCAUGGUAGAGGAGCGUUCCGUAGGCCUGUGAAGGUGGAUCGUAAGGUCUGCUGGAGGUAUCGGAAGUGCGAAUGCUGACGUGAGUAACGAUAAAGGGGGUGAAAAACCCCCUCGCCGAGAGUCCAAGGGUUCCUGCGCAACGUUAAUCGGCGCAGGGUGAGUCGGGUCCUAAGGCGAGGCCGAAGGGCGUAGUCGAUGGAAAACAGGUUAAUAUUCCUGUACCUCGCAUUGCUGCGAUGGGGAGACGGAGAAGGCUAAGCGGGCCGGGUGUUGGAAGUCCCGGUUUAAGCGUGUAGGAAGUGACCUUAGGCAAAUCCGGGGUUGCAAUUUCGAGACGUGAUGACGAGCUCCCUUGUGGGGCGAAGUCGCCGAUGCCACGCUUCCAAGAAAAUCCUCUAAGCUUCAGGCAAUGUGGGACCGUACCCGAAACCGACACAGGUGGACCGGUAGAGAAUACCUAGGCGCUUGGGAGAACUCGGGUGAAGGAACUAGGCAAAAUAGCACCGUAACUUCGGGAGAAGGUGCGCCCCUGGUACGUGAAGAACUUCGCGUUUGGAGCGGAAGGGGGCUGAAGCAAUCAGGUGGCUGCGACUGUUUAUUAAAAACACAGCACUCUGCAAACACGUAAGUGGAAGUAUAGGGUGUGACGCCUGCCCGGUGCCGGAAGGUUAAGUGAUGGGGUCAGCGCAAGCGAAGCUCUUGAUCGAAGCCCCGGUAAACGGCGGCCGUAACUAUAACGGUCCUAAGGUAGCGAAAUUCCUUGUCGGGUAAGUUCCGACCCGCACGAAUGGCGUAACGAUGGCCACACUGUCUCCACCCGAGACCCAGUGAAAUCGAAAUCGCUGUGAAGAUGCAGUGUACCCGCGGCAAGACGGAAAGACCCUAUGAACCUUUACUAUAGCUUUGCACUGGACUUCGAGUUUGUUUGUGUAGGAUAGGUGGGAGGCUGUGAAGCGAGGACGCCAGUUCUCGUGGAGCCAUCCUUGAAAUACCACCCUGACACGCUUGAAGUUCUAACCUAGGUCCGUUAUCCGGAUCAGGGACAGUGUAUGGUGGGUAGUUUGACUGGGGCGGUCUCCUCCGAAAGAGUAACGGAGGAGCACAAAGGUACCCUCAGCGCGGUCGGACAUCGCGCAAUGAGUGCAAAGGCAUAAGGGUGCUUGACUGCGAGACUGACACGUCGAGCAGGGGCGAAAGCCGGUCUUAGUGAUCCGGUGGUUCUGAAUGGAAGGGCCAUCGCUCAACGGAUAAAAGGUACUCUAGGGAUAACAGGCUGAUUCCUCCCAAGAGUUCAUAUCGACGGGGGAGUUUGGCACCUCGAUGUCGGCUCAUCACAUCCUGGGGCUGUAGUCGGUCCCAAGGGUAUGGCUGUUCGCCAUUUAAAGUGGUACGCGAGCUGGGUUUAGAACGUCGUGAGACAGUUCGGUCCCUAUCUGUCGUGGGCGUUGGAGAUUUGAGGGAAGCUGCUCCUAGUACGAGAGGACCGGAGUGGACGUACCGCUGGUGUUCCGGUUGUCACGCCAGUGGCAUUGCCGGGUAGCUAUGUACGGACGGGAUAACCGCUGAAAGCAUCUAAGCGGGAAGCCUCUCCCAAGAUUAGAUCUCCCUGGACCUAUAAGGUCCCUGAAGGGCCCUGGAAGACUACCAGGUUGAUAGGCCGGGUGUGGAAGCACGGUAACGUGUGGAGCUAACCGGUACUAAUUGCCCGUGAGGCUUGACCAUAUAACACCCAACCAG